ensembl:lncRNA
AAUACGUCUGAGAGUUUUAAACACCAGUCUGCUAUUGUGGCGACAUUUCCACGCCCCAAAACGUGACGCUGAAAAAAAAAAAAAACUGUUUGUUGUUUGACAUGUAGGUCAAACGGCUUAAUGGGUGGGCCUUGGCCAAUGAAAGCCGCCAUGGAUUCCAGACCUUCAGCCAUCAGUCAGACUAGUUGUUAAUUAGUGUGUUUCCAAACAGGCAUAGGCAUCAACUAAAUGUAUUUGGGAAUUUUCUGACUUCUUAUUUUUUCUGAAAUAAAUUCAACAACCUUGGCCCAAAAGGCCCACUCAGUGUGCCAAGAAGUGUAUUAAUCACAGAUAAACAGCUAGCCUACAUUAGCUAGCACGCAUUAGGUGCUGCUUUUUAUCCCUAGAGAGAAUUUGGUUUCCUUUUACAACAGAUGCUCAAAUCCUGCCAGGAGUCAUUUAUCCCUACUUCUCUGCUACAUGUUCAGUGAAUGCUUUGUCUAUGAUAGUAUCAAAUAUCACAUCAUUGAAUUCACAAGGCAUCAAACAAGAUCAUGAAUGGGUCCCCCUCCCCUUCCCUUGGGCCCAAUGUAUGAUCUAUGGUCCAAACUUUUUGCCACCCUGACAAACUAAGGAUAUCUGUUUGUAGUUUUUCUUGUGUCUCUGUGAAUGUGAUGAUCUUAUCUCCAGUUUCGUCGCCACCCUGUUGCUCUUGCAAUCUCUCUGUUAGACAGUAGUGUAUUAGACUUCUGUGAUAAUUAUCUUUUUUUCUGAUGCUCACCCCUCAGGCUGGUUUGGGGGGUCAGAGCCUGAACUGCAGCUACUUGCAGCAAAUAUGGCAGGAUGUCAGAGCUGGUGCUGGAAGUGAAGACACUGUUGCUUUGUGGUGUAACAUCAGCCUGCUGCCAGUCAUAGCAGCCUUUGAUAAACCAGCUCCAGCCUUUAAUAUGACGGGAAUGGCAAUGAACCCUCUAUGGAAAAAUGCCACUGCAGGAAUGAUGGCAGAGUCACUGGAGACAUUCUAUGGGGCAAUCCUGAACAGUACCUUUGCUAGCAAUCACCUUACAGACGUCCUGUUGCAUUAUACAUCAAUGCUAUCCAACCUCUCAGUGCUAGAAUUAACAAACCAG